CACUUGUGAACAAAACAAGUGGUGGUGCUUAGUUGUCGUUCCUGUCGUCAGGUCUUUCUGGGUUGUAAGGAGGUGGCAAGCACGCAGGAGACUGCGCAUCUUAAGCGAUCGGUUCCACAUCUGGCUGAUGGUCGUUGAAUAGAAGCCAUUACAUAGAAGCCAUACAUGCGCCAGAACAUCCACCGAAUUGGUUGCACUCGGAUGCAGAUGCUAUAGUGGGGUUGGUUAGGAACAUGU